ensembl:snoRNA SNORD22 Small nucleolar RNA SNORD22
UCCCAGUGAAGAAACAUUCACAUAUCUUGCCUCCUCUUCUAGUCCCAGAGCCUAGAAAGGCAAACCCACUGGGGCUGGCUGGGGGAGAAGAGGGAAGUUUGUUCCAGAAGGAAUUGUGUAAAGGAU